GAACUGUAGAGUUUGAUCCUGGCUCAGAUUGAACGCUGGCGGCAUGCCUUACACAUGCAAGUCGAACGGUAACAGGUCUUCGGAUGCUGACGAGUGGCGAACGGGUGAGUAAUACAUCGGAACGUGCCCGAUCGUGGGGGAUAACGAGGCGAAAGCUUUGCUAAUACCGCAUAAGAUCUAUGGAUGAAAGCAGGGGACCGCAAGGCCUUGCGCGAACGGAGCGGCCGAUGGCAGAUUAGGUAGUUGGUGGGGUAAAGGCUUACCAAGCCUGCGAUCUGUAGCUGGUCUGAGAGGACGACCAGCCACACUGGGACUGAGACACGGCCCAGACUCCUACGGGAGGCAGCAGUGGGGAAUUUUGGACAAUGGGCGCAAGCCUGAUCCAGCCAUGCCGCGUGCAGGAUGAAGGCCUUCGGGUUGUAAACUGCUUUUGUACGGAACGAAAAGCCUCCUUCUAAUAAAGGGGGGUCAUGACGGUACCGUAAGAAUAAGCACCGGCUAACUACGUGCCAGCAGCCGCGGUAAUACGUAGGGUGCAAGCGUUAAUCGGAAUUACUGGGCGUAAAAGCG
rnacentral:ncRNA from 1 species